rnacentral:rRNA from 1 species
AACGAACGCUGGCGGCAUUCCUAACACAUGCAAGUCGAACGAGACCUUCGGGUCUAGUGGCGCACGGGUGCGUAACGCGUGGGAACCUGCCCUUAGGUUCGGAAUAACUCCCCGAAAGGGGUGCUAAUACCGGAUAAUGUCUUCGGACCAAAGAUUUAUCGCCUUUGGAUGGGCCCGCGUUGGAUUAGCUAGUUGGUAGGGUAAAAGCCUACCAAGGCGACGAUCCAUAGCUGGUCUGAGAGGAUGAUCAGCCACACUGGGACUGAGACACGGCCCAGACUCCUACGGGAGGCAGCAGUGGGGAAUAUUGGACAAUGGGCGAAAUCCUGAUCCAGCAAUGCCGCGUGAGUGAUGAAGGCCUUAGGGUUGUAAUGCUCUUUUACCCGGGAUGAUAAUGACGGUACCGGGAGAAUAAGCUCCGGCUAACUCCGUG